rnacentral:rRNA from 1 species
AUGGCGGCGGCGGUGUCGUCCCAUCUCAACGGUGGCACGAAGCGGCGGCGGAAGGACGAGGGAGUACAGGCAGGCGCGGAGGCGGCAGAGGACCGCAUCUCGGAGCUGCCGGAGGCGCUGCGGCUGCACAUCCUCUGCCUGCUCCCGCUCAAAUCCGCCAUCCGCACGGGCGCGCUCUCCACCCGGUGGCGCUCCCUCUGGACGCACCGCUGGCCGGCGCCCUCCUCCCUCGACUUCCACCUCGGCACCCACGACUCCCCCCACCCGCUCCUCGAAACCCUGGAGCGGCGCGGGCGGCGGCGCCUCCAGCGGUUCGCCCUCUCCUUCCAAAUCGGCGAGCUCAAGGGCAAGCACUUCCGCCGCUGCCUCGACUACGCGGCCGCCUGCGCCGUCGAGGACCUGCACGUCCACCUCGCAAACCGCGUCUUCAACUACCGGCUCCCGCUGGGCGACCCCCACCUCGCGCGCCUCUCGCUCCGCGCCGUGACCGUCGAACUCCGCGGGUCCUUCUCCGCCCACUCCCACCCCUUCUCCGCCCUCGAGGUCAUCCACCUCCACUGCGUCCGCAUCUCCGACCGCACAGUCAAUCCCCUGGUCGCGCGUGCCCCCUCCUCCACACCCUCGAUCUGCGCUACUGCGAAAGCCUCUUCUCCGUGA